rnacentral:rRNA from 1 species
GAUGAACGCUGGCGGCGUGCCUAAUACAUGCAAGUCGAACGAGGAGUCUUUGUAGCAAUACGGAGGCUUCCUAGUGGCGAACGGGUGAGUAACGCGUUGGUGACCUGCCCCAAAGUGUGGGAUAACAGACCGAAAGGUUUGCUAAUACCGCAUGUGGUCUUGAGGAUUAGAUGCCUCAUUUCGAAAGGAGUAAUCCGCUUUGGGAGGGACCUGCGUCCCAUCAGCUAGUUGGUAGGGUAACGGCUUACCAAGGCUUCGACGGGUAGGGGGCCUGAGAGGGUGGCCCCCCACAAUGGAACUGAAACACGGUCCAUACACCUACGGGAGGCAG